UCUCACAAUCUUUGUAAAACUCAGAAGAGGAGUUUACCAAGAUUUCUCACAUCCCACACAUCAUCAUUGAUGGUCAAGAGGUUAGAAAAAUUGCACUUUACCACUUCUUAAUUUGUCUUUUCCAUAAAACACUUAAACGCACCGUUUUGCUGCAGUUGGAGAAUAACUGUGAAGAAGAAGAAGAAGAAGAAGAAGAGACUAACAUUGAAGAAGAAGAAGGAGCUGUUCAAGAUUUAUUGCCACAUCCCACGCAUCAUCAUUGAUGGUCAAGAGGCGAUCAAGAUCCGUGUAGAACGUCAGCGACAAUGAUAUUUCGUUUGAUUUCUAAAUCAACUUGUCAUAUAUGGAAAUUAAGGUACACAUCCACUUCUUGUAAUUCGGUUUAAAAUUGCUAUGCCUCCAAUAAUCCUCAUCUGGUUUUUAACUUGUUUUCCUUGGCUAGACAACAAUAUUGAACCAUUAAGAAAAGCUUUUUCCAACUUGGUCAAGUGCUUAUUCCUUUCGACCUCUUGUAAGUAACCGUGAUGGUCAUACAUUCCAUAUAAUCUUGUAUGACAAGCUAUAUCAUUUUCAUCCAAAAAUCGAAUACAUUAUGCAUUCCUCUUUACUUAUAAUUAUUGGUAUAUCAUUUCAUUCAAAAUAUAAUAAUUAAUCUUAUAUAUAUAUAUAUAUAUAUAUAUUGUAUGAUUGUUAUUCUGGUUUUUUGGACAAACUCCUGAAUUCUAUAGGAAGUGUUGUUUGCUACAAAUAUAAGUUGUUUUCCAUCCAUAUGUAUCUGUAUCUGUUCAUUUUUACAGGUUAUUAAUCAUUAUUUUUUAACUAGAUUUAGUUUAUACUUCUCUAUUUUUUUCAUUUUCUCCAUCUUUUCUUCUAAUUCUGCUUCCUGCUCUCUUAAUGUUGUAACAUGUCUUCCAAAAAGAAUAUUUUCAUUCCAAACAGCAAACACAAACGGAAGCUUCAAUAUUUACCCAAAAAGAAUAUUUUCCAUUUUUCAGAUUUUAAGUCUGUAGAUAGUGUUUUUCUAAGUUAAAUAUUUUUACAUAUGUAUGAUUAACCAAUAAUUUUCUUCACAACCUAGUUCUAAAUAGCAUAUGCCCAUCACAUGACUUAAGCACCAACCAUUGCAUUGCAUUGCAGAAUUACUGAUUUCCAGUAGAUGUUGAAUAUUUAAUGCAGAAGUCUGUAACUUUAUUGUUCUCAAUAUCUACAUUUAUCAUAAUUUGAUUAAUUCAUUAAUGUUUAACAAACAAAUUAUUUUUCUAACUUUUGCACUCCUGAUUUCAUUAUAAUUAUUCCCAAAACUGAAACAGCUCUGCUUUUUACAAAAUUGUGAACUAGGAAGAAUGGCAAUUGAGCUAUGAACCAAAUGCAAGCUGGAGAGAUGUUUAUGCUGUGUAUAUCUAUGCAUUGUUAUGUAACUUUGCUUUGUCUUAUAUAUAUUUUAUAUUUUUUUAUAAUGUUAAAAAAAUAAUGCUAAAAUACCAAUAAGUCUACCAAAAAGUUUAUCAAAAACUAAUAUUUUGUUAUUUUAUUGGUUGUAAAAUCAAUAUUUUUAUAAAUAUUAAAAAGUGAACAUUUGAAUAGAUAAAUAUAAUUAAUCAAUAAAUAAGAUAAUAAUAGCUCAUAUCUUUCGUUUUUUUUUUUGGGUAAAUUAAUAAUAGUUUAUCUUUUGGUAAAAUUUCUUAGUACUCCUAGCAUUAUCUUGUUAUUGUUAUAAUUAUUUUCUCUUUUACUUUUUUGGCUUAGUGAAAGUGAUGAGAUAUGCCCACUGAAAAGGAUUACUUUGUUUUAAAUCUAAUCUUAUUUAUUAUUUUGCAGGAUUCGUAUGAGCUUAACCAGUUCAUCAUUAAUCUCUCAAGUGUAACACCAAAAGGACUUGAAUAUAAUAACUUCAAUUUUAAUUCAAUAAAUUUGCAAUUAUUGAAUUUUAUGUAAUCAAAACUUUGAAUGUAAUAAAGUAGUUAUUUAUUUGUAACACAAAAGGGACUUAAAUGUAAUGAUGUUGCUAUUUAUAUGUAAUAUGUUGCUAUAUUGUAUUGCAAGUC